rnacentral:rRNA from 1 species
UACGUAGGGCGCGAGCGUUAAUCGGAAUUACUGGGCGUAAAGCGUGCGCAGGCGGCUUUGCAAGACUGAUGUGAAAUCCCCGAGCUCAACCUGGGAACUGCAUUUGUGACUGCAAGGCUAGAGUACGGCAGAGGGGGAUGGAAUUCCGCGUGUAGCAGUGAAAUGCGUAGAUAUGCGGAGGAACACCAAUGGCGAAGGCAAUCCCCUGGGCAUGUACUGACGCUGAUGCACGAAAGCGUGGGGAGCAAACAGG